rnacentral:misc_RNA from 1 species
UUUCCGUAGGUGAACCUGCGGAAGGAUCAUUGCCACACCCUAUCCGAUAUCGACACUUUUUGUGAACUGUUAAACUCUUUUUUAUUGAUUGUACUUGUUUAUAUAAAAGUAUUCAGGGAAUUCAGUAAAAACUAUAUUAAACACCACUUUUUAAACAUGAAUUAUCCACUGUGACAAUUAAGAAAGAUGUAUUUACCGACUAUAACUCUAGACUAUUAAUUGUAAAACAACUUUUAACAAUGGAAACCUAGGUUCUUGCAGCGAUGAGGAACGCAGCAG